AAAAACAUGUCAGACGACAGCGGUGACGAAACUACAGAUUACAUUAAUUCAUUGAAAAAUGCAAACACAAUUAGAAAAACACUCAGUGAUAUCAAUGUUUUUACCAGACGGAUAAGGGAUAAUAUUGAUAUUAGAAGUUUGGAUGAUAUUCCCGUCAUGGAAUUGGACAAAAUAUUGGCAAGGUUUUUUUAUGAAAAUCACGAAAGAUGAUGGCAGUCCUUAUGAACCUAGUACUAUUAAAUCCUUUCAAAGUAGUAUUUCAAGACACCUAAUGGAUACAAGGAACAUAAGUAUUGUAAAAGACAAGGAGUUCCAUCACUCCAGAGAGGUUUUAUCAGCAAAGACAAAGGACCUGAAAUCUAUGGGCAUGGGAUAAAAAAAAAGACGUGCAGGUCCAUUCACGGCAGAGGAAAUUGAUGUACUUUAUGAGAAGAAUUUUCUUGGCCCAGCAAAUGGCAAAUCCUUGAUUCGAACAGUUUGGUUGAACAACAGUCUGCAUUUUGGCUUGAGGUCUCGUGAAGAACAUUCUACACUAAGAUGGGGUGAUCUGCAGAUGAAAUCUACAACUGAUGGGCUUCAGUAUCUGGAGCACACGGAAAGGGUAACCAAGACGAGAACUGGUGCUAAUGUCAGGGAAACAAGGGCUUUUCAAGCAAAGAUGUUUGCAGAUCCAGGAUACCAGAUGUCCAGUGGAAGUUUAUAAGCAGUAUAUUAAACACAGACCUGAAGAUAUGUUGGAAACGAGAGUCCUUUUUAUUUGGGCAUUAGCAGGAAUAUAAAAGAUGAUAUUUGGUAUUCACGGCAACCAAUGGGAAAGAACACUUUAUAUAACUUUGUUAAAGUAAUGUGUGAAGAAGCAGGAAUACAGGGCAGAAAAACAAAUCACAGUGCACGUAAAACGACUGCGAGUGCUUUAGUACACCAAAACAUCCCUGAUACUCGUAUAAUACAGCUCAGUGGGCACAAAAAUGUUCAGUCAAUAAAUUCUUAUAGUGUUGCCUCAAUAGAACAACAACGAGAAAUGUCGAACAUUUUAUCAAUUGUUGGAACCGGAAUGACUGUUGAAAACAAAAAACGCAAAUCUAACAAGUUACAUGAUGAAAACAUGAAUGAAAUUGUUGAAAUGCCAGAUGACGAGGAUGAAGUAUUGAUGUCCGCAUCUCAGGAAGCAGAGUUAGAUGUUGUCUUAAAAGACAUUACAAACUUUGAGAAAACAGUAACUGAUGAGCCAAAUCCUGCUCAAAUGUCUAAUGAUAUGCCAGAGAUUAUUCACGAUAAUUAUAAAGGGAGGGCCGUACAGAUGUUUGCUGGGGCGACGAUCACGGGAAAUGUUACUAUUAACUUUCCAGCAUAACAACUAAUACUCACAUAUUGAAAAUUGUUACAAUAAAAUGUGUUGUUAUUAUAAAUUUGUUUCAUGUUAAACUUGUUUAAUAAAUUUUCAAUCAUGA